UGGUCCUGCUCUGAGCAGGGGGUUGGACUAGAUGACCUCCUGAGGUACCUUCUAACCCUAAGAUUCUAUGAUUGUACAGAUGGGGAAACUGAGGCAUGGGGCAGGGACUUGGCCACAGUCACCCAGAAAGUCAGGGGUCUGAACUGCUACCCAGAGCCAAAUACCUCGGGGAGGGCGGGGAGUUGUGUGUGUGAAAACAUUACUGCCUUUGCCUUCCCUGCCCUCAGCCCAUUUGUAGAGAUGGCAGCCACUGUGUCCCCCCCCAGGGUGGCUGCACCCCAUUACCGAGCAGGCGCCUGCACCGUGCUCUUGCCUGGAUACUUGACAUUGGUUCUUUCUUUUGUCCUUUUCCUUACACCAGGACAAAAGCCUCUCCCCUCCUUCUGGCCAGAGGCCUUGCUGGCUUCUUGCCUGCGGAAACACCAAGCGCCUUCAGCCUCCUACAGACUGAAUUAAGGGCAGGUUUUGUGUGGCUAUCUGCAGAGCAGGAGUUUCCUGUCCUGUCAUCCUCCCGCUUUCCUCUUCCUUUGUCCAAGAUUCAUAACAACACACCAUGAGGCAUAGGUCGCUCUCCAGUAUGCUGCUGAUUCAUCGGGUAUCUAUAACAUAAAUCCUCCAGCUGCAGAAGUGACCUCCAAUCUGCUAUUCCAGGAACAGCCUCUCUCCAGUGGGGAAUUCCAGGUGAUCUUGUUUGCCAAAGAUUUUGCGAGAUUUUUGCGACAUUGGUAAAGUGGUUUUUUGACAAUCGCCUGCUUCAUCGAAAGAUCUCCAAAGAGCUCCUCAUUAACAUAACUCCACACGUGCGGUAGUUAUCAUGAUCUUUCGUUUACAGGUCGGGAAACUGAGGAAUGGGGCAACUAUGAUUUGCCCCACAUCUGUGGCAGAGCAGGGAAUAAACCCCAGAUCUCUCAGGAACUGCCGGACUGGAUCAGACCUAAGGUGCCUCUAGCCUAGUGCCCCAUCUCUGAUACUUCAGAGGAAGGUCCAAGAGCUCUGUGGAGAUGGGGGAUAAUCUUUCUCUCCUCUCCCCGCUCCCCCGCCCCCCCCCCCCCCCCCCCCCCGGUAUAGGUCAUAUCCUGAUUUCUAAUAGAGAUUGGCUUAAGCCCUGAAGCUCAACCUUUAAUAUCCCUUCCAAAAGUUGCUUCCAGGGAGGCAGCGUAGUCUAGUGGAUAGAGCACUGCACUGGGACUGAGUGGGAGCUAGCUUCUGUUCCUGUCCCUGCCACUGGCCUGCUGGGUGACCUUGGGCAAUUUGUGUCCCUGCUCUGUCCCUCAGAUUCCCCAUCUGUAAAAUGGGAUACAAUGAUACUGACCUCUUUGGUAAAGCACUGUGAGAUUUACUGACGAAAAGUAUUAGUGUGAGCUAGGAAGGGUUACUAUUUCAGCCCAGACAGCCAGGCCACUCUUGAAGGGAAUGUUGCAUUGUGGGAAUGUCGCUGGAGGACUGAUUAUACCGGUAGAGAUAACAUGAGUCCACAGUGCCCCUGGUGCCAAUGAGGCUGAAGUCCCACUGAAACAGGCAAUUAGAUUUUUCUUUGCAAUCACAGGAAUCUCAGGUUUCAUUUUAAAAAGUUCUCACGUCAAGUGACUCCAGGAGCUGGGGCUUUAACAGAAAACACAGAAUAGUACAGCACUUGGCUUGCAAUAACAUGGCAACAGCUGGUAGCACUGGAGGGUGUUUGCCUAUAUGUCAUUGGUGCUCAGCUCAUUAAUACCUCAGGUGUCGAGGCUUUUGGGGCAAUUCUGAGGCUUUUUAUUGUCGAUAUGCAGAAGACAUGCCCUUUGCAGAACCUUUAUGUCCCUAAUGGGCUCGGAGAAGUCAGUGACAUGGUGAACGAACUACAUGAAUCCUAUAGGCACGCUGCAGGCCGUCCCUUUGGGUCAUUAUAACUCAGGUGUUAUGCUGCUCGCAUGAAGGAGGCUGCAGUAGCUGUGGUAUAAAUCAUUCCUCCUAAAAACCCUAGGAACUAAUGAGCUGAACUGGGUUCGAACUGCAACCCCCUUGAAGUACCAAGGAUGGGUUAGAGCCAGGGGGCUGGGACUAGCUCAGCGCUAUUUAUAUUUCAAUGUUUUCUGCAGGCCCCAACUGAGAUCAGGGCCCUGAGCUCUGCGCAGACAGUGAGAGACCGUGCCUGCUCUGAAGAGUUGGAGCUAAAUAGACAGAGAGUGGGAGGGGAAACUGAGGCACAGAGCAGGGGCGGGACUUGCCCAGGGUACCCAGCAGGUCAGUAGCAGGUGGAUGGAAGCAGACUGAAAAGUAAGUGCCAACCUUCAUGAAAUGGCUUUUGACACUCUGCCCAUGCAGCCACCAAUGCAUUCCUCUGUUUAUUCCUGCACCUUAGUACAAGACCUCCUGAGGAGUCCUUAGAGGAAAAUGUGCCAUCUGAUUGUACACCAUAUCCCAUGGAGGCAGAGAGGAAUUUUCUUCCUGACUCUUCCAAGACAAUUCAUUAAUGCCCUGACAUGAGGGGAUGAAUAGCCCUUGUAUUAGUUACCCUAUCUCCUGGCACUGCAGACGAUACUCAUGAAUAUCAGUUUUUUGGUGUGAGCUCACUAAGGAAUUUCCCCCUCUCCACCACAUCCUUCAGCAGGGAGUUCCAGAAGUUACUCUCAAUUAUACCCUACAGUAGCUAGACCAUAGGUUAACCUCAGUAAUUUGCAGCAGUGUAAGCCACACCCACUCCAUGUGGUGCUCUGUCCUUCUCCAGUGGGAUCUGGGCCACCCAUAAAGCUUGCUGCCACCUGGGGUAACAGAGGUUGCCUUUUUAAUGCAGGAAGUAGCGGUUCAUACUUUAAGAUCCAGAGGGCCAAGGUUCAAUCCCCACAGCUGAUAACCCAUCCAGGAGCACAGUGUGACAGCAAUGUAUUCCAUAGAUUGCCUUUAUUAAUACCCCAUAGCAGUAAAUUCUGCUGGAGAACUUCAGGAAUAUGCUUCAUCUAGAAUACCCCAUACAUAUGAAUACCACAUGACCUCAGUAAUAUCCUGCAGCUCUGAGUUCUGUGGGUUAACCUUGGUGAUACCCAGUAGCGCUGAGUUCCACAGGUUAUAGCCUGCAGCUGGGGAUUCACCAGGUUGUUUGUAAUCCUUGAAUCCAUCUAAUGACUGGGGCCUCUCCUUUCAGCUCCCUUCCCCCCCCCCCGGUUUUUGUAUUCUGCACAAAGGGCAAGUGAGGGAUUUUAAUCACAAGUACACCUCAUGUGUUUUGCAGGUUGCCUAUCUCCGCUGGCAUGCGGCCAGAGUUCUGGUUGUUAUGUGUGUGUUUCAGGGCUGUGGUUUUUUUCUUCUUGCCCAAUAACCCAUAGAUCAUAGCCGUGCAGCUAACAUGGAAAUAGGGAGGGGACCUUUCACUGGUGGCUUUUUUUAAAGUCAACAAGCAGCAUGCGGCUGAUGCGUGGCCGAUCAGGUGAACAAAGGACCCCCUCCAAUCAGAGAGCGGCUGGGCUGAGCCAGGCGGAGCUUAUGUCGCAUGUGCAGAUGUUGGACAAGGACACUGAAUUUUCUCUGUGCCCAAAAUGUUCUGCUUGAGGUGUCCUGCUCUCUAGGGAACAACCCAUUCAGCCUCAGUUCUGGAACCACAGAGGGUGUGAUCAGCAGAUCUCCAAAGCUAAACAGGGACAGCUGUGGUUAGUCCCCGAGUCAGAGAGAAACCAAGGUAUUGCAGGACCUGUUGGUGACUCCGUAGUCAGUCUGGAAUCAUUGCCCAGAAGGGGUCGGUGUGCUGCAGACACAGGGCUCAAUAGGGGGGUGCUCUUCCAACAGAGCCCCUCAAGCUUGACAGUCGCUAUGGUCUACGAGCAGCUUUCUGAGCGUUUGGGGGCUACUGGGCCAUCUUUCCACUGAGGCAUAACACUAAGAUCUUAGUCCCUUAAAAUCCCGUUGCCGCCUUAUGCAUCCGUAGCGCCGGUGUCCUGGCCAAAUUCUAGUUAGGGUAACAACAUUUCUGCCCCCUUAAAUUUUCCCAGCAUUUUCAGCUGGCUAUAUAGUAUAUUUCGCUUCCUGUCCGAGGCCAUCUUCUAUUGUUGCUUUGCCCUGUGUUAAACAGCUGCCAUAUCCCAUCCCAGAAGUGGCUGCAUUUCACAGGUAGGUAGCAUGACCCCUGUAUGGUUUGUGAAGUGCUUCAGGAUCCUUUGGCACAAAAUGUGCUGCAGAGUUGUGGUGAUUGCAUGUGUCAACAGAUGGCGCUGUUGUGCACCUUCCAAAUUAUUUUGCUUCGAGUGCGAACAAGUUUUUAGAUCUUGGUUAUAAAAAGUUCUGUAUAGAUGGCACAGUUGGCUCUGCCUUAGGCUCUGAUUGGAGCUAUUUCUGGAGGCAGGGCUGUUCUCUGGGACCAGGCUUUGGGGUUGGGCUGAGAUUCUUGGAGGAAUGACUAGCCCUCCAAGCGGUUUGACCACCUCUGUUCCAGGACUGGGGUGUGUGUAUAAAUCAGUUACACUUAGGAAGUGUCUAGCAUCUGCUCACUAAUUUCUCCUCCACUGAGCAGGCGAUGUGCAAGGUCCUCGAUAUUUGCUACCAUUUGGCAGUGUGGCGAUGCUAGUGCAAGAAUGGGAUGUAAUGGUUGGGAAAAGGGGCAAUGAUAUUAGAACCAAGUCCAGGGCUUGCCAGGGGCUGAGGGCUACUGUCCAACACUCCCUAAAUUCUCAGAUAAAAUGAGAUGCAGGUUCCCAGAGAAGGUCUUGCCGCAACACGUGAGGGCUGAGGGGGCUAGUUCUGCUCUCAUUCUCCUUGUAGGGAGGGGAAUUGCCUGCCCGGGGCUGGAGCGAAGAGCAUAUCGGGGGGUGUCUUAGAUCGCACUGAGGCAGGGAAUGAGCAGCCAGUGUCCCAGGCCUGGUUUUGUUACAGCAGUGCUCUCGGUGAGUCCACGACCUAGCUAUGCAGAGGCUCCUACCUCAGGCUAUUCGCUCAAGGGACAGUGGCUGACACCUAACUGACUCAUCCUGGGGUUUGCGUAUGUCUUAGCUUCGUGGAGCGAACAGAAACCGACUGUGGAAAUACCAGCGACUACCUGGAAUUUCAGCAUAGGGAACAAUCUCUGUUCCUGCCCUGCCUUCCUUGCAUAUCUCAGCCAGUAUCUCAUUUGCCCAGAAGCAGAACUAGAAAUCCAGGGGCCUGAUUUUUUCCAUCCAGUGUCUUAGCCACAUUUGCCUUGUGCCCAGAGCAGCCCUUACACUCAGGAUCUAGCAGAGACCGGCCUUGAUUACUGUAGUAAACAUCUACAUCGAACACAUCACCGGCCACCGACAGUACCAGGAGGUGUGAGCCAGUACGACAUCGUGCAUCCACUAUGGGAAAGGAACUGAGAGACUUUUCCCAUUGGACCAUAUGAACUGGAACCAUAAACUCACUGAACAUUAAAUCCCACCAAAUGAGGGUAGAUCCAUCCCCAUCAUCGUAUGCGCUCAUUAUACUCCACACCUGAACAUAGCCAU